rnacentral:rRNA from 1 species
UACAGAGGUCUCAAGCGUUGUUCGGAUUCAUUGGGCGUAAAGGGUGCGUAGGUGGCGUCGUAAGUCAGGUGUGAAAUCUCGGGGCUCAACCCCGAAACUGCACUUGAUACUGCGAUGCUCGAGUACUGGAGAGGAGAUUGGAAUUUACGGUGUAGCAGUGAAAUGCGUAGAUAUCGUAAGGAAGACCAGUGGCGAAGGCGAAUCUCUGGACAGUUCCUGACGCUGAGGCACGAAGGCCAGGGGAGCAAACGGG